rfam:Carboxydocella sporoproducens DSM 16521 genome assembly, contig: BR84DRAFT_scaffold00049.49
UAUUCGGAGAGUUUGAUCCUGGCUCAGGAUGAACGCUGGCGGCGUGCCUAACACAUGCAAGUCGAGCGGAGCCGUGAGGGAGCUUGCUCCUGAGCGGCUUAGCGGCGGACGGGUGAGUAACGCGUGAGCAACCUGCCCUUCAGACAGGGAUAACACCGCGAAAGUGGUGCUAAUACCUGGUACACUCUUUGC